AUUGAACGCUGGCGGCAUGCUUUACACAUGCAAGUCGAACGGCAGCACGGGCUUCGGCCUGGUGGCGAGUGGCGAACGGGUGAGUAAUAUAUCGGAACGUACCCAGAAGUGGGGGAUAACGUAGCGAAAGUUACGCUAAUACCGCAUACGAUCUACGGAUGAAAGUGGGGGACCUUCGGGCCUCAUGCUUUUGGAGCGGCCGAUAUCUGAUUAGCUAGUUGGUGAGGUAAAGGCUCACCAAGGCGACGAUCAGUAGCUGGUCUGAGAGGACGACCAGCCACACUGGAACUGAGACACGGUCACGACUCCUACGGGAGGCAGCAGUGGGGAAUGUUGGACAAUGGGCGCACGCCUGAUCCAGCAAUGCCGCGUGAGUGAAGAAGGCCUUCGGGUUGUAAAGCUCUUUUGUCAGGGAAGAAACGGUAGGGGCUAAUAUCCUUUGCUAAUGACGGUACCUGAAGAAUAAGCACCGGCUAACUACGUGCCAGCAGCCGCCGUAA
rnacentral:rRNA from 1 species